GCCAGGCAUGGUGGCUCAUGCCUGUAAUCCCAGCACUUUGGGAGGCCGAGGCAGGUGGAUCACCUGAGGUCAGGAGUUCAAGACCAGCCUGACCAACAUGGUGAAACCCCGUCUCUA
ensembl:misc_RNA Metazoa_SRP Metazoan signal recognition particle RNA